rnacentral:rRNA from 1 species
AGUGAACGCUGGCGGUAGGCCUAACACAUGCAAGUCGAACGGCAGCACAGUAAGAUCUUGCUCUUACGGGUGGCGGGUGGCGGACGGGUGAGGAAUACAUCGGAAUCUACUUUUUCGUGGGGGAUAACGUAGGGAAACUUACGCUAAUACCGCAUACGUCCUACGGGUGAAAGCAGGGGAUCUUCGGACCUUGCGCGAUUGAAUGAGCCGAUGUCGGAUUAGCUAGUUGGCAGGGUAAAGGCCCACCAAGGCGACGAUCCGUAGCUGGCCUGAGAGGAUGAUCGGCCACACUGGAACUGAGACACGGUCCAGACUCCUACGGGAGGCAGCAGUGGGGAAUAUUCGACAAUGGGCGCAAGCCUGACCCAGCCAUACCGCGUGAGUGAAGAAGGCCUUCGGGUCGUAAAGCCCUUUUGUUGGGAAAGAAAAGCAGCAUGUUAAUCCCCCGCUGUUCUGACGGUACCCAAAGAAUAAGCACCGGCUAACUUCGUG